rnacentral:rRNA from 1 species
AUUGAACGCUGGCGGCAGGCCUAACACAUGCAAGUCGAGCGGAUGAAGGGAGCUUGCUCCUGGAUUCAGCGGCGGACGGGUGAGUAAUGCCUAGGAAUCUGCCUGGUAGUGGGGGAUAACGUCCGGAAACGGGCGCUAAUACCGCAUACGUCCUGAGGGAGAAAGCGGGGGAUCUUCGGACCUCACGCUAUCAGAUGAGCCUAGGUCGGAUUAGCUAGUUGGUGGGGUAAAGGCCUACCAAGGCGACGAUCCUUAACUGGUCUGAGAGGAUGAUCAGUCACACUGGAACUGAGACACGGUCCAGACUCCUACGGGAGGCAGCAGUGGGGAAUAUUGGACAAUGGGCGAAAGCCUGAUCCAGCCAUGCCGCGUGUGUGAAGAAGGCCUUCGGAUUGUAAAGCACUUUAAGUUGGGAGGAAGGGCAGUAAGUUAAUACCUUGCUGUUUUGACGUUACCAACAGAAUAAGCACCGGCUAACUUCGUG